UCAGAAAUCUAGACCUGAAUCUUCUCUGAGUUCAUGACCACCCUUUCAAAUUAGCCACCUCUCUCAAACCAUCUUUGUCUCCUUAAUUUAUUUUAGUUUUCCUUUUAAUAUGUCCGUGCAUGUGUGUGCUACAUAUGGUCACACACACCUGUGCACACACAUUUGUUGUGUGCUGUUCUCUAUCUUAGAAUAAGAACAGCAGCUUGGUUACAGUACCAGGCACAUAGAAGGCACUCAAUAAAUAUUUGUUGGAAGCAAGCAUAUAAAUUGAUUGUUUUAUGAGUGAAUGUUUGCACUCCCCCAAAAAUCUUGUUGGAGCUCUGACCUCUAAACGUUUAUAUUUGGAGAUAAGGCCCUUACACAAGUAAUUAAUGUUCAAUGAGGUCCUAAAGGUGGGACUCUGGUCAGAAAGGACUGGUGUCUUUAUUAGAAGAGACUCCAGAGAGCUCAUUUGCUUUUUCCACAUGUAUGCACCAAGGAAAGUAAUGUUAUCAGACAGUAAGUUGACCACCUGCAGGAUGAGAGCCUUCACCAGGAAUCAAAGAGAUCGGCAUCCUAAUUUUGGACUUCUCAACCUCCAGAACUGUGAGAAAUAAAUUUUUAUGAUGUAAGACACCCAGUCUAUGUUUUGUUUUGAGCAGCCCAGGCAGACUAAGACAAGUUAUAAAGACUAUGAAAAUAACAAGGAACUCAGUUAUAAUGUUCAGUCACACAGUAUCACAAAUCGCUUUGAGAUCACUAAUGCAAUUGAAUGAUGUAAUGGUGUGACUGAGCAGUCCUUUCUAGCACCUCCCAAAGUGAUGGAGGCUGGAAGAUUAAUCUUAUCUUGACCUGAAAAUAGAAUAAAUGUUCAAGAUGAACAAAUACUUUUGAUGACGUUUCUUGUUUGUUUGUCCCCCACCCCCCCACCCCCCGAGGUCAGGAGUGGUUGAAACUCAGAGGAAAAGAAUGAUCCAGUUAUCAUGGUGAAAAAUGCUGUUUCCAGAGGGAGCUCAGUGUCUAAAAGCAGCAGAAGUCCCCCACGAGUUCCCCGGAAGGACUCACAUAUAGCUGAGUGCCUACCACAUAACCAAAAACUACUGAUAUUCAAGCAAAUACCAGAUGCUUCAGAUAACAGCUUCAGAGAGAGAAACAGAAGCCAAGAGAAAUCCAAUGCUUGGCCACAGAAUCAAUGCUCGUUCAGUGAUGGAGUCUAGCUUCUCUCUCCGUGAUGGCAGGAUUCUCCAGACAAAAGGCCUUAGAUGUAAAGACACUCCCUGGGAUGCCUUGUCGCUCCCGUCUUCGCGGAGGAACGACACAGGACCCUGCGCUGUUCUUUUGUCUGCUCGGCCCUCCCCGGGUUUGCUGCUGGUUCUUCCCGGGUUGGCUACCGUCCCUUCCACCUCCGUGGAAGGGCGGUUCCCCCUGCCACUUUCCCCACUUCCGCGGGGGAGCGGCACACCGCCGGCCGGCUCUCUCGGGGGCUGCUCAGGUGUUCCUUCAGCUAGAUGUUCCUGGUGCAUGUUGUCUCUCCCCUCCUUUAUAGUCCUCUUCCAUCAAUCCCAACUCUGCUACCCACAUGCCGAGUAUGCUGCUCUCCUCCAAUCAGGAGCAGGAUCAGCUCCUGCAGGUCAUCACUCAAGUUGGCGAGAGGCAGCUGCGUAG
ensembl:lncRNA